CAUUCUAUCUGGCUCUCUAGUUUGCUGUCCAUGUAGCUAGUUUACAGCUAACGGGUGAGAGCCAGCUACUUACCGUUAUUUGUUAAGCUCGGAGUUAACAUUGUUUUACUGCUCUAGAAGGGAAGCAUACUUAUAAUUUAUUAGAAGUUAUAUAAUUUACUUGCGACAUAGUUGUCACAUUCAUGUUUAGUUAGUUUAUGUAGCGUCACUCGCUGAAAGGAAUGAAUGUUACAGCGGUUACCUGCUAGCACAUCAACUUUGGCUAAUAACGUUAGCUUGUCUGGCUGGCUUUGCACAACCCAGUUCUGGACAGUGGUCAUCUCUAAUGAGCAGGUAACAACAAACAAGUUGGUCUUGGGAUUUCGUUGUUAUAGGCUACGUCAUCCGAAAAUAGAGAUGAGCUGUCAGGGUGAUCACACCCCUCCAUUGAGGGUGUUGGUGACAGGAGGAUCCGGCUUGGUGGGCAGGGCUAUACAGCAUGUGGUCAAAGAGGAGGGGGGAGCCAAGGAAGGGGAAGAAUGGAUAUUUCUCUCCUCCAAAGAUGCCAACCUCAUGAACAUGGAGGAGACACGGGCAGAGUUUGAAAAAUAUCGGCCGACCCACGUCAUUCAUCUGGCUGCUAUGGUUGGGGGGCUUUUCAAGAACAUGAAGUACAACCUGGACUUUUGGAGAAACAAUGUCUACAUCAACGAUAACGUGCUGCAGGCAGCACAUGAAGUUGGCGCGGUCAAGGUUGUUUCCUGCCUGUCCACCUGCAUCUUUCCGGAUAAAACCACCUACCCUAUCGACGAGACCAUGAUCCACAACGGUCCACCUCAUGAGUCGAACUUCGGCUAUGCCUAUGCAAAGAGAAUGAUUGAUGUUCAUAACAGGGCGUAUUUCCAGCAGCAUGGGAGUUGCUAUACAGCUGUGAUUCCCACUAAUGUGUUUGGUCCCCAUGACAACUUCAGCAUUGAGGAUGGUCAUGUGCUGCCAGGCCUCAUUCACAAAGCUUACAUUGCUCAAAAGGAGGGGAAGCCCCUGGUGGUCUGGGGCUCCGGCACUCCCAGAAGACAGUUCAUCUACUCUUUGGACCUGGCUCGUCUCUUCCUGUGGGUUUUGAGAGAGUAUUCAGAGGUCGAUCCAAUCAUUCUCUCUGUUGGAGAGGAGGAUGAAGUGUCCAUCAAAGAAGCUGCAGAAGCAGUUGUGCAAGCACUGGACUUUAAAGGAGAAGUGGUGUUUGAUACCAGUAAAGCAGACGGCCAGUUCAAAAAGACAGCCAGCAAUGCAAAGCUGCACCGCUACCUGCCGGACUUCACCUUCACACCCUUCAAACAAGCUUUAAAGGAAACCUGUGAUUGGUUUGUUGCCAACUAUGACGCAGCCAGGAAGUGAACGCUCUGCCAAUGAAUUUGGUACAAAGUCGAUCUAUGACCCGCUCUGUUGGAAGAGGACGUGGGGAUGGCAAAGGUGGAGAGGGCUGGGAGAAAACAAGGUGGCUCAUGUGCAAAGGUAGAUGGAUGUGGCUGAAUUGUGUGUUCCAGUUAGAUUCAGCCACUCAGUGAGCUAGACUAUAUAUCACUUUGAAUUCAAGUCUGCAACAUUUCUCUUAAUAGAAAGUAUAAAACAAUUUGUCUACCGACCUGUAUGUAGAAUAUGUUAACUAUGGCAGUGUUCAUAAUUAUAAGUAAAGUUAAUUAGGGGUUCAAUCUGUCGGGAUUAGUCUUUUUCAGCAUUUAUCA